rnacentral:lncRNA from 13 species
AUUUUCCUGAGGAUUACAGCCUCCUUCCCGGGGGAACAUAAGUAGAACAAGGUGAAUCUAGAACUAGAAUUGAAGUCCCAUUCCAGUCUAUUGUUCUUUCCAUGAAAUUGAACCAAGCACCUUUUUGUAACAUCCCUCUAGGCAGAAACUCCAGCUAUGAGAACAUGUGGAUGCUGGGCAUGGCUUUUUAUGUAACAGCAGAAGUUCCAAGAUUGGCAUCCAGGAUAGAUCCAGACCAAAACCCGAACUUUUGCUUCUACAUUAUAGUACCUCUUUUGUGUGACGUUAAUACUAAUCCUUGGAACAAAUUAGUUGACAAGGUAAGAUCAUUUCUUUACAUAGAUUUUGAUGCUCAUCUUUCUAGAAAGACUGACUACGUCCCUCGGGCAAGUCUGAGGCAUCAUGAUACGUAA